rnacentral:rRNA from 1 species
AACGAACGCUGGCGGCGUGCUUAACACAUGCAAGUCGAACGGAUCAAGGGGCUUGCUCCUUGAUUAGUGGCGCACGGGUGAGUAACGCGUGGAUAAUCUGCCCGACGAUCUGGGAUAACAUCUCGAAAGGGGUGCUAAUACCGGAUAAGCCCACGGGGUCUUCGGAUCUUGCGGGAAAAGAGGGGGACCUUCGGGCCUCUUGUCGUCGGAUGAGUCCGCGUACCAUUAGCUAGUUGGCGGGGUAAAGGCCCACCAAGGCUACGAUGGUUAGCUGGUCUGAGAGGAUGAUCAGCCACACUGGAACUGAGACACGGUCCAGACUCCUACGGGAGGCAGCAGUGGGGAAUUUUGCGCAAUGGGGGAAACCCUGACGCAGCAACGCCGCGUGAGUGAUGAAGGCCUUCGGGUCGUAAAGCUCUGUCUAGAGGAAAGAAGUGUGGGGUGGCUAAUAUCCACUUCACUUGACGGUACCUCUGAAGGAAGCACCGGCUAACUCCGUGCCAGCAGCCGCGGUAAUACGGAGGGUGCGAGCGUUGUUCGGAUUUAUUGGGCGUAAAGCGCGUGUAGGCGGUUUCUUAAGUCUGAUGUGAAAGCCCCGGGCUCAACCUGGGAAGUGCAUUGGAUACUGGGAGACUUGAAUACGGGAGAGGGUAGUGGAAUUCCUAGUGUAGGAGUGAAAUCCGUAGAUAUUAGGAGGAACACCGGUGGCGAAGGCGGCUACCUGGACCGAUAUUGACGCUGAGACGCGAAAGCGUGGGUAGCAAACAGGAUUAGAUACCCUGGUAGUCCCCGCCGUAAACGAUGAGAACUAGGUGUUGCGGGUAUUGACCCCUGCAGUGCCGCAGCUAACGCAUUAAGUUCUCCGCCUGGGAAGUACGGUCGCAAGACUA